UCUCCCAGAUAUCAAACAAUGGUUUUGUGGAACAAGGUAACUCUCCCAGAUAUCAAACAAUGGUUUUGUGGAACAAGGUAACUCUCCCAGAUAUCAAACAAUGGUUUUGUGGAACAAGGUAACUCUCCCAGAUAUCAAACAAUGGUUUUGUGGAACAAGGUAACUCUCCCAGAUAUCAAACAAUGGUUUUGUGGAACAAGGUAACUCUCCCAGAUAUCAAACAAUGGUUAUCCUUCCUCUGUUACAUCCUAACCAUUAUUUCUGUGUAAUGGCUGUCGUCUCACAUACUUCACUGUCAGCUAUCAACUGAUCCAAAUGCAGUAUAUUCACUGUGUAUGCACAUGGCAAGGAAAACAAUUUCUUUUCUGUGUGUGCUUAAGUUGACAGGAAAUAGUUUCCCAGCAAUUAAGAAUAACAAAUAGUCACAGCAGAA